UACGAAGGGAGCUAGCGUUGUUCGGAAUCACUGGGCGUAAAGCGCACGUAGGCGGAUUUGCAAGUCAGUGGUGAAAUCCCGGGGCUCAACCUCGGAACUGCCUUUGAUGCAGCAAGUCUUGAGUUCGAGAGAGGUGGGUGGAAUUCCUAGUGUAGAGGUGAAAUUCGUAGAUAUUAGGAAGAACACCGGUGGCGAAGGCGGCCCACUGGCUCGACACUGACGCUGAGGUGCGAAAGCGUGGGGAGCAAACAGG
rnacentral:rRNA from 1 species